GGCAGGAGGGGCUGUGAAUCAGCAGGCACAGAGAGUGAAACCUUGCCCUUCAUCCCUCUGCCCAACCUGGAGCCUCUCCAUCGCUGAUGUAAAGACCAGAGCCGAUGAAAGGAUGGAAGGAUGGAAGAGCAGCACUUCUGCUGUGGGUCAUCCUGCUGCUGCCCUGGGCACGUGGCUCUAGGACACCAAUAUGUGACCAAAGACCAGAUGGUUACUAUGGAAAGCAAGCACUUUCUGAGAUCACAGGUGGGGAACCUGCAGACAUUGCAGAUUUUCCGUGGCAGGUGAGUAUUCACCAGGGAGAGGAGCAUCUCUGUGGAGGCUCUAUAAUCAAUAAGUGGUGGAUUCUGACUGCAUCACACUGCUUCAUAAGAGGACAAAGUCACUGACAUAAAGAGAUGGACAAACUGCUGGGUAACUGGAUGGGGCACUAACCAGCCUACGGGUUUACAAAGUUCCCCUUCAGUGCUGCAAAAAGUUGACCUUGAUCUGGUUGAUUGGGAUAUGUGCUCUAAGUCUUUGCCUACAAUCACCGCCAACAUGCUGUGUGCUGCAAAGGAUGGAAAGGACUCCUGCCAGGACAGCUUCAAGAGAAAAAAUUUUGGACACAGAUUCUUAAAAGAGGACAAGGAAAAGCAAGAUACUCAGAGGCAGUGCGAGCUUGAAAGGAAGCAGCGGAGGGUGGACGCUGUCACGCACUGGAGUAGGAGUGAAAGGCUUAGCAUUGAACUCUGCCCUUGUCUGCAUUACGCUGCGCAAGUCACUUAGUUCUCUUGACCUCUUGACCCUGAAAUUUGAAAUAAGGCACCAUUGGAUUAGAUAUUCCGGAAGAGAAGUGUGGUUUCCUGGCUGCUGUAUACUCAUCUGGAAUUCUGAAUCUUCCUUCACCCUCUGAACAUGAAUAAAGAAAACUGAGGGUCCUGAAACUGGAUAAUAAGGACACAUAUCCUGAUCAAGGCCCAAAUAGGUCAAAGCAAACCAGCCAGCUCCCUAACAGGGAUUAGAAAUGAGCCUGAGGGCCCACUGCAGUGGGGAGUGGAGCUGAGAUACUGUGCUCCAUGGACUGGGACCACAUGGGAAGAUUAUGAGCUCGAGGCUGGCCUGGGGAACAGAGCAAGACUGAAAAAAAGCUGGGCGUGGUGGCACAGGUCUGUCAUCUCAGCUGCAAAGCUGAAGCAGAAGAAUCACGAUAUGAAGAAACUCUGCCUUAAAAAAAAAAAAAAAAAGAAUAAAGAGAACCAGAAGGUUGUG